UACGGAGGAUCCGAGCGUUAUCCGGAUUUAUUGGGUUUAAAGGGUGCGCAGGCGGCAUGUUAAGUCGGCGGUGAAAUUUUGCAGCUCAACUGUAAAAGAGCCUUCGAAACUGGCAAGCUUGAGUGUGGAUGAAGUAGGCGGAAUUUGUGGUGUAGCGGUGAAAUGCAUAGAUAUCACAAAGAACACCGAUUGCGCAGGCAGCUUACUAAACCAUAACUGACGCUCAUGCACGAAGGCGUGGGGAUCAAACAGGAUUAGAUACCCGUGUAGUCC
rnacentral:rRNA from 1 species